AGGAGACUCCGGGCCUGCGGACGUCAGCAAGGCUACCUCGGUAUCUAUGGACUGAAGGUCUGCUCUCGAUCCACUACUGUUGCCUAUACGAUGCUCCAACUCCUGGAUAUGUGCAAAAGAGCACAGAGUAUAGCAUCAUCACAACCGACCCCAUAUGCUGGUAAGUGCCUAGCAUAACCUCGGCAAAGUAGUGACGAGGCUAGACCAGACCACCAGAUAAACCUGUGCAGUUAUAAAA
rnacentral:lncRNA from 1 species